CACCCACCUUAGCACUCCCCUGUGGUAUAGGGUCAUACUGUUAGUUUCAGUACAAACAGCCAGCUACUCACUGUAUAACAUAUAUUGAAACCAAAUCUAGUGCUUUUAUGCCUAUAUCUAGAAAGGCAUGAGAGGUCAUUAUCAAGGUGCAAGUCAGUUUGCAAAGGUUUAAGUUGUCAGUUGAUUGACUAUGCCAACUCCAAUUCAAGUCAAUUUUGGGUGAUAACAUUUUCAUAGCGACUCACUGUGAGUUGUCAGUCAAAUCAGCCUAACCUGCUCAACACAAUUUGAUAAUUUUUACUUUUACUGUUGGUAAACUUUCAAACCAAAAUAUGUUUUUAAACUAUUGGCGAAUGGAGCUACACCCUUUGUUAAACAGUAUUUCAUCCAGUGCUACAAAGGUACCUGCAUACUAGAAGCUGAUCAAUUAUUACAUCACAUUUUCCAGUAUGACAGAAAAGGUAUUUUAAAGGAGAGUCUAAUGAAUGUAAAAUGUAUGCGUGUUCAAAAAAGCAGGCAACUAGUAGAUUCAUUAAUCUGUGAGUUUCAAUACUUCCAAAAGUUUCAACUCAUAAAAUUAAAGUCACUCCCAACCUAGGAAAAUAUAAAUCAAUAAAUAUGACCUCUGUUAACCAAGGGGGUGUAACAACUGACCUCCCUCUUUCCCCACCCCAAACGUAAUAUGAGGUAAUUAAAUUAACCUUAGAAGGUUAUGGUGGCUAAAUACCCUCCCUUCUCCCCAUCUUUUUCCAGUGGGAUGGGAUGUUACUGUACAUUUAAACCCCUUAAAACCCCACUCCCUGCCCAGUGGGGCAAAGGGGGUUAAAAGGUUUUAAAAAGUCUCAUUGGUGGGAUGAGAACAUCAUGUACCUCUCUAUCCACUGUCUACCAUCUUGACAUUAAAUUGAUGAAAAUAUAUUUGGGGGGGUCAUCAUUUACCUUUUCAAGACCCAUCAAGCAAAUAUCUUGAAGGAAAAUGGACAUCCAACUUAGCAAACAAAAAAAUGGCCACUGGUUGUGGGCGAACAUAUCUAUACUCCUGCAGCUAUGUUAGAAAAUGCGUAAUGCUAAUGGUAUAAAUAAUACAUUGAAAUGUAUUGGCAUGUAUAAUGUGUGAGGUAGCUCCCAAUCAAACGAACCAAAGAGUUCGGUAGUGAAACACAGGAGCAAUCUGGCCACAACUCAGGCAGAACUUGGGCAUGUUUUUCAUCUUGUAACACAGACAUGUCCAAAGAGCUGACGUUCACAUUAUGGGACUAGGUUUAGGAUUCAAAAAGCUUAAGUAGUGGUCUGGUUUGGCCAUAAAUCUGUCCAGAAAAAUGAACACAUUUUCCAGUUCUUUAGAAAUGCAAGGACUAAGAUGACCCUCGUGACACUGGUAUUCUCAAUGUUAUUUCUCAUUUCGUUGGCCCUGUGACAAUUUUUUUUUUUGUUUAACAGAUUUGCAAAAUUCAACAUUUUAAGGAAACUUUGAAAAUGAAAUGUAAUCCAAAAUAUUUGCAAAACUGCCAAGUUUCUUCUGAAUCUAAGUCAUUUUCCAAGCUUUCAAGCCAUUGAUAAACACACUGUAAGGUUGAAUUCUCCAUGGAUCUUGACUGUGUCUGGUAGUCCUGCCUUAGACAAAACAAAAAUGUGACAAGGCUUACAGUGAAACAAAAGCAAUAAUACAACACAGCUGAAGGCCUUGAAGUGUUGGAUUAUCAAUGCAAAACCCCAACCUCCAUUAUGUGUUCCAUGCGUGCAUUCCCUCUUCUAUUAUUUUGGAAAACUCUUCAUUUUGUUUUGUAACUACUUUUAUCUCUGGUUUAGCAUGUAAAGGAGGCGAUCAAAACCAAACAAUGCUAUGCUCAUGAUUACUUUGACAUUUCAAAAAAGUCUGUUUUGCCAUACUAUUGCUGUGUCUGUUAAUACGGGGUUCCAUCUGUGCUUUUGUUUUUAUUUUUAAAUAACAUAGUGAUACACAUUACCGUAAGCAACAGAAAUGUAAACUCCAGAACCGCAAUAAAUUGUUUUUAUCCUCUCUU